UACGUAGGGUGCGAGCGUUAAUCGGAAUUACUGGGCGUAAAGCGUGCGCAGGCGGUUCGUUGUGUCGGCGGUGAAAGCCCCGGGCUCAACCUGGGAAUGGCCGUUGAAACUGGCGAACUGGAGUGUGGCAGAGGGGGGUGGAAUUCCGCGUGUAGCAGUGAAAUGCGUAGAGAUGCGGAGGAACACCGAUGGCGAAGGCGGUCCUCUGGACGGAUACUGACGCUGAGACGCGAAAGCGUGGGGAGCAAACAGG
rnacentral:rRNA from 1 species